GAUGAACGCUGGCGGCGUGCCUAAUACAUGCAAGUCGAGCGAACGGACGAGAAGCUUGCUUCUCUGAUGUUAGCGGCGGACGGGCGGGUAACACGUGGAUAACCUACCUAUAAGACUGGGAUAACUUCGGGAAACCGGAGCUAAUACCGGAUAAUAUUUUGAACCGCAUGGUUCAAAAGUGAAAGACGGUCUUGCUGUCACUUAUAGAUGGAUCCGCGCUGCAUUAGCUAGUUGGUAAGGUAACGGCUUACCAAGGCAACGAUGCAUAGCCGACCUGAGAGGGUGAUCGGCCACACUGGAACUGAGACACGGUCCAGACUCCUACGGGAGGCAGCAGUAGGGAAUCUUCCGCAAUGGGCGAAAGCCUGACGGAGCAACGCCGCGUGAGUGAUGAAGGUCUUCGGAUCGUAAAACUCUGUUAUUAGGGAAGAACAUAUGUGUAAGUAACUGUGCACAUCUUGACGGUACCUAAUCAGAAAGCCACGGCUAACUACGUG
rnacentral:rRNA from 1 species